CAAGGCCUACUCACCGUGGUUUCAAAUGAUAAGAAACUAAACUCUGAUCAUGAAAAAGAAGGUCCACAAUCAUCCAACACUUUUUCUACCAAGCAAGUUAUAUGUAAGUGUCUUACUUGAAUUAUUUUACCAUUGUUCAUCAUUUUUUUUAAUAUGUCCCAAUCACUUUAUCAUUCAUUGUGACCUCUUCAACUUCUAGCCCAUCCGAAAACUUGUGCCAAACACCCAAACCACAUUGGGUUAGCGACUCAUCAUCCACCCAACACGAUGGUUACCAGACAAAUACCUUAAACACCCAAUCUUACUUUUCCUCUUUUGUUUACGUGGUCACGAUGCCUUAGAUUACACCAAUGAUUUCAUCUUUUUUUUACGUGGUCACCAUGCCUUAAAUGGUGAUGUGUCCCUUGAUCUUGAUGAGACGAAAGAAUAUCAAGGUGAGAUAGAUAUGGAUCAUGAGAUAGAUGACGAGACAUGUGAUAAUCCCUCAUAUGUACUCAACCACACAGAAAAGGUCACCUACAAAUAACAAAGACAGUAGAGUGGUUACUUCUACCCUAACAUUUCACAACACCCGGUCGCAAACAUCAAAUCCUCUUCGGCCAACCAUGACACAUAGCUCAUAAUCUAUCCCUCUUGGAUUUCUAUCUUUCGCUAAUAACUCAAAACUUUCCCUCAAGUGCAUUAAACUCUGGUAAAGCCCCUUUUUCAAUUUCCUCUAUUCAUUUAUUUUUCCACAGCUAAGAAGGUGUUGGAGCCAUCAUAAUGAAUAUCGUGUUGGAGGAUCACGAUGGUCUAUCCCAUGACCAAUCGUUAUCCAGGCCCAAUAACGUCGCUGCCAAGCUGAUUUGUCACCUCCCAUAUCACAAGAUGCUCGUACUGAUCCUACACUUAAGGCAACUGGGAUCACCAAUCAGGCAAACUUCACUCAUGUUAUAAUUGGUCUUUACAUAAAUCAAUAUUUCUUAAGUAAUUUUAGAUUACUUUUCAGGGACAUACUAACCUUGAACGUGAGCUUGAAUACUUGGCUGCUUUGGAAAACCAAUUUUCGGGAUCCACACCCAACACUUGGCUGACUAAAGACUUCCUCUCUCAACCCUUGAAGGAUAUGCUUAGAUCAUUCAAGGUUGAGUGGCCUAGUGAUGCCUUUGAUUUUCUUGUUCGUCCAAAUAUCAAGCUCUCAUUCUUAGGACCAAACAAGACAUUGAUGAAAACUCUCCAAGGCUCCUCUUCCGGCAUCAAGACAUGGCUUGGCGUCCUUAAACAAAAUCAGAGUUUCAAAUCCAAAUGCCCACCCAAGUUCACAAAAGGAGCGUGGCAUGUCAAGUCAUUAGAGAAAAACCAACAAUAGGUAAAGGCCUAUUUAGUGAGAUGGCAAGUUUGGAUGCAAAGGAGGUAGCAUGUCAAAACUGGAUAUCAGAGUUGGAGGCUGAGCUUCUCCAUUUUCACAAUGAAGUAGGUGAGAUCCAAACUCAAAUGAAAACCAAAUCCGUCAACUUCAAAGAAAUCGUGAAUGAGGUUCACAUAGCUAAUGACAAAGAAAAGUCUCGCAUGUCCAUGGAUCAAGUCAUCUUGCAGAAAGAGCACAUUAUCCAGAUACGGGUAGAAAAUAUGACCAAACUGAUUACCCCGAAUACCAUCAUGGAAGAACUCCUCAUUUUUUAAGUCUAAUCAUAAGCCAUAACUUCCUCAUUCUGUUCAUGUUUCUUUUCUUUUGUUUGUCUAGUUUUCUAUUUGCUGCACCCAUUAUUUUUGUCACAUAUGGGCUGGCGUUUUGAGGCUCAAUCUGGGCCGUCCAAUUUCGAAAAAAGAAAAAUAAUUUACAAAAGAAGCACUCAACUUAAAUAGUGUAAUUAAAAAGUCUACAACUUUUCCAUUUUGUCAAAUGAGGAAUUGGUCUUGGUGAAUUUUUUUAAAAUCAUCAUAACAUCUUCAUAGUACUCCUAGCAUCACCUAAAGUUUAUAUUUUAUCUUUGGAUGUCAACAAACUAACACAUCCAUCAUUGUAAUAUUUUUCAGCAAGCUCAGAGUUCAGGGGACUGUUUUGGACCGAUUGCAGGGUGAAAGUGAUCGAAAGCACAGUGAAGUUUCAGCCAUGAGGAUGAACCUUGUGGAUGUGCACAAGUCGCAUUACCGCGGCACCUGACACAUUAGCCUGUAAAUGUUUCAAUAUCUUAAUGUAAUUUUGUACAUUUAAGAAUCAUGUGCAAUUUGAAUAAUAAUUUUAUCUAUUGUUAUGGUUACUCAG
rnacentral:lncRNA from 1 species